GAUGAACGCUGGCGGCGUGCCUAAUACAUGCAAGUCGAGCGAACAGACGAGGAGCUUGCUCCUCUGACGUUAGCGGCGGACGGGUGAGUAACACGUGGAUAACCUACCUAUAAGACUGGGAUAACUUCGGGAAACCGGAGCUAAUACCGGAUAAUAUAUUGAACCGCAUGGUUCAAUAGUGAAAGACGGUUUUGCUGUCACUUAUAGAUGGAUCCGCGCCGCAUUAGCUAGUUGGUAAGGUAACGGCUUACCAAGGCGACGAUGCGUAGCCGACCUGAGAGGGUGUUCGGCCACACUGGAACUGAGACACGGUCCAGACUCCUACGGGAGGCAGCAGUAGGGAAUCUUCCGCGAUGGGCGGAAGCCUGACGGAGCAACGCCGCGUGAGUGAUGAAGGUCUUCGGAUCGUAAAACUCUGUUAUUAGUGAAGAACAAAUGUGUAAGUAACUAUGCACGUCUUGACGGUACCUAAUCAGAAAGCCACGGCUAACUACGUG
rnacentral:rRNA from 1 species